rnacentral:tRNA from 1 species
GGGGCUGUAGCUCAGCAGUAGAGUGCUUGCUUAGCAAGCAUGAAGACCUGAGUUCGAUUCCAAGUACUUCCA